UACGGGGGGGGCAAGCGUUGUUCGGAAUUACUGGGCGUAAAGGGCUCGUAGGUGGUCAACUAAGUCGGACGUGAAAUCCCUCGGCUUAACCGGGGAACUGCGUCCGAUACUGGAUGACUUGAGUUCGGGAGAGGGAUGCGGAAUUCCAGGUGUAGCGGUGAAAUGCGUAGAUAUCGAGAGGAACACCAGUGGCGAAGGCGAGUCUCUGGACGACUCCUGACACUGAGGCACGAAAGCCAGGGGAGCAAACAGG
rnacentral:rRNA from 1 species